UGGUAGAUGAGAGCUAGGAGAGUAAGAGAGAAGGGUGAGUGCUAGGUUAGCCAUCAAUCAAAGAGUAUUGUGUACUCUAUUCAAUAUUUUUGGUCAUGUAAUAAAGAGUAUCUUCUUGUAAGUAGUAGCCUCCUAGUUAGGCCCUUAGUUUCUAAGUACAUAGUGCAUAUUAAGUUGUGAUCUAUCUGAAGGUUGACUCUGUCACCCGGGAUCACUGAUCCAUCUGAAGGAUGGCUCUGCCACCUGGGAUCAUAAGGGUCUAGGCUUCAUUUGAAGGCUGGCAGUGCCACCCGAAAGCCAGCUUCAUCUAAAGAUAGGCUCGGCCACUCAAAAGUGAGAAGAUGGUUCUGCCGUCAAAAGGACCCAGUGCACUAAGUUAUUAGAAAUUAAAAGGGGCUAACUGACUCGUAUGAGUUAGGCUAGCUUAGGUCCUCAACCUAGUGGGUAUUAGGACCACCCCGAUUCCCAACAAUAAUGAGACUGCAUUUACUCUUGUGACACAAUACAAAAAACGUUUCUCAUUUGCCAGUAAAAUAAUUUUCCCUUCUUGCAGAUGCAUCAAUGCAAAUGGAAAGGAAAUGACCGGGUUUGAUAAACAAUUUGUCUUCCAUCUCCAUUUUGGAGGAAAGCGUAUUUUACUGAAGCUUCAAAGAAACUGUAUUCUGAACAUAGGCAGCGGGUCAUUGGUACCGUUGUCUUUAAUAUGGAUGCAAGACUUGUUGGAUUCGUUCAUUUUUGUAGGAAUACAUUUGAUGUCAAGCUUGCUGCGAGAUCAGAAGCAUUGUCUUCCAAUCUGAAUAAAUGGCUAAAGGGUAAAGAGUUGAAAGUAAGAAAAAUAUUCAAUUCCACAAAAUUCUUAUUGUUUGGUUCCAAAUAAGUCAUUUUGUUGUGUUUUGUGUUUUUUUGUUUAUUUUCUCAAUUUGGAGGACCACAUCGCACCUUACAUUGAGAAAAGGUGGCCCAGUUCGAAGAGUUAAAACAACAUUUGUCUCAUCAAAGGUUGGAGGAAUAACUGGAACUCCUCUUUGCA